rnacentral:pre_miRNA from 1 species
UACGUACUCCUUCCGUUCCGAAUUACUUGUCAUAGAAAUAGAUGUAUCUAGAUCUAAAAAAAUGUCUAGAUACAUCCAUUUCUACGACAAGUAAUUCCAAACGGAGGGAGUACAUG